GAUGAACGCUAGCGGCAGGCCUAAUACAUGCAAGUCGAGGGGUAGAUGGGGCUUGCUCCAUUGAGCCCGGCGCACGGGUGCGUAACGCGUAUGCAACCUACCUUGAUCUGGGGGAUAGCCCGGAGAAAUCCGGAUUAACACCGCAUAAAACCACAGCAGGACAUCCUGCAAUGGUCAAACAUUCAUGGGAUCAGGAUGGGCAUGCGUGCCAUUAGCUUGUUGUCGGGGUAACGGCCCACCAAGGCUACGAUGGCUAGGGGAUCUGAGAGGAUGGCCCCCCACACUGGUACUGAGACACGGACCAGACUCCUACGGGAGGCAGCAGUAAGGAAUAUUGGUCAAUGGAGGCAACUCUGAACCAGCCAGGCCGCGUGCAGGAAGACGGCCCUCCGGGUUGUAAACUGCUUUUAUCCGGGAAUAAACCUAUCUACGUGUAGAUAGCUGAAUGUACCGGAGGAAUAAGGAUCGGCUAACUCCGUGCCAGCCGCCGCGGUAA
rnacentral:rRNA from 1 species